rnacentral:rRNA from 1 species
AGUAUUUUGACUAUACAAAGGUAUUGAAAUAAGACUUUAAUUGAGUGCUAAGAGAAUGGAAUUUCAUAAAAUUUCUUUUUUAAUUUUAAAAAUUGAAAUUAAUUUUAUAUGUGAAGAAACAAUAAUAAAAAUUAAGGACAAGAAGACCCUAAGAAUUUUAAAAAUUUCAAUAAAAUGCUGUAUUUUAUUGAAAUUUUUAAAUUGGGGCGAUUAUUAAAUAUUAAAAACUUUAAUUUUUUUAAAAAAGAACCAAUAAUAUUGGUUAUUUGAAAAAAUACUCUAGGGAUAACAGCGUAAUAAUUUUUGAUAGUUCUUAUAGACAAAAUAGUUUGCGACCUCGAUGUUGGAUUAGGAUUCUUUUUUAAUGAAGAAGUUAAAAAAAGAAGUUUGUUCAACUUUUAAAAUCCU